UACGUAGGGGGCAAGCGUUGUCCGGAUUUACUGGGCGUAAAGAGCGUGUAGGCGGCCAAGCAGGUCCGUUGUGAAAACUGGAGGCUUAACCUCCAGACGUCGACGGAAACCGCGUGGCUAGAGUCCGGAAGAGGAGAGUGGAAUUCCUGGUGUAGCGGUGAAAUGCGCAGAUAUCAGGAAGAACACCAAUGGCGAAGGCAGCUCUCUGGGACGUUACUGACGCUGAGACGCGAAAGCGUGGGGAGCAAACAGG
rnacentral:rRNA from 1 species